rnacentral:lncRNA from 1 species
ACACAGCUCAUCUGUCAGGCGGGGCAGCUCCUACAGCUCUUCCAUGAGCACAGGAGGAGGUGGUGCAGGCUCCCUGGGUGCAGGCGGUGCCUUUGGUGCAGCUGCAGGAGACGGGGGUCCCUAUGGCACUGACAUCGGCCCAGGCGGAGGCUAUGGGGCAGCAGCAGAAGGCGGCAUGUAUGCUGGCAAUGGCGGACUAUUGGGAGCUGACUUUGCUGGAGGUCUGGAUUACAAUGAGCUGGCUGUGAGGGUGUCAGAGAGCAUGCAGCGUCAGGGCCUACUGCAAGGGAUGGCCUACACUGUCCAGGGCCCACCAGGCCGGCCUGGGCCGCAGGGGCCACCCGGCAUCAGCAAGGUCUUCUCUGCCUACAGCAACGUGACUGCGGACCUCAUGGACUUCUUCCGAACUUAUGGAGCCAUUCAAGGACCCCCUGGGCAAAAAGGAGAGAUGGGCACUCCAGGACCCAAAGGUGACAGGGGCCCUGCUGGGCCACCAGGUCAUCCUGGGCCACCUGGCCCUCGAGGACACAAGGGAGAAAAAGGAGACAAAGGUGACCAAGUCUAUGCUGGGCGGAGAAGGAGAAGAAGUAUUGCUGUCAAGCCGUGAGCUAGCCAUGGCAGGACAGCUCCUGGACCAGGUCUCAUAAUGCAUGUGGCACUUAGGUCCAAGCUCUCCAGAGGGUGAAACCUGGAGUCUGUCAAUGUCCUACUGAGACAGCAC